rnacentral:rRNA from 1 species
GACGAACGCUGGCGGCGUGCUUAACACAUGCAAGUCGAACGGAAAGGCCCUGCUUUUGUGGGGUGCUCGAGUGGCGAACGGGUGAGUAACACGUGAGUAACCUGCCCUUGACUUUGGGAUAACUUCAGGAAACUGGGGCUAAUACCGGAUAGGAGCUCCUGCUGCAUGGUGGGGGUUGGAAAGUUUCGGCGGUUGGGGAUGGACUCGCGGCUUAUCAGCCUGUUGGUGGGGUAGUGGCUUACCAAGGCUUUGACGGGUAGCCGGCCUGAGAGGGUGACCGGCCACAUUGGGACUGAGAUACGGCCCAGACUCCUACGGGAGGCAGCAGUGGGGAAUAUUGCACAAUGGGCGGAAGCCUGAUGCAGCAACGCCGCGUGCGGGAUGACGGCCUUCGGGUCGUAAACCGCUUUCGCCUGUGACGAAGCGUGAGUGACGGUAAUGGGUAAAGAAGCACCGGCUAACUACGUG